rnacentral:sRNA from 1 species
CGAUAGGGAGACUCAACAUUUUUCUUUUAUCCGAGACAAGCCUCGGUGGUAAUGGCGGGCUGUAGUUCCCUCGUGGAGCAAGCAGAUUACAAAGCUAUCGAAGCACUCAAAUCCUGUUUUUCGGAGUUUUCACUUUAUC